GGAGGAUCCGAGCGUUAUCCGGAUUUAUUGGGUUUAAAGGGAGCGUAGGUGGACUGGUAAGUCAGUUGUGAAAGUUUGCGGCUCAACCGUAAAAUUGCAGUUGAUACUGUCAGUCUUGAGUACAGUAGAGGUGGGCGGAAUUCGUGGUGUAGCGGUGAAAUGCUUAGAUAUCACGAAGAACUCCGAUUGCGAAGGCAGCUCACUGGACUGCAACUGACACUGAUGCUCGAAAGUGUGGGUAUCAAACAGGAUUAGAUACCCUGGUAGUCCACACAGUAAACGAUGAAUACUCGCUGUUCGCGAUAUACAGUAAGCGGCCAAGCGAAAGCAUUAAGUAUUCCACCUGGGGAGUACGCCGGCAACGGUG
rnacentral:rRNA from 1 species